rnacentral:rRNA from 1 species
UACGUAGGGUGCGAGCGUUGUCCGGAAUUAUUGGGCGUAAAGAGCUUGUAGGCGGUUUGUCGCGUCUGCUGUGAAAAUCCGGGGCUCAACCCCGGACUUGCAGUGGGUACGGGCAGACUAGAGUGUGGUAGGGGAGACUGGAAUUCCUGGUGUAGCGGUGAAAUGCGCAGAUAUCAGGAGGAACACCAGUAGCGAAGGCGGCUCGCUGGGCCACACCUGACGCUGAGACGCGAAAGCUAGGGGAGCGAACAGG